CGGAAGCCAACCGCAUUUCCGUCUCACCUGCCUACUUUUCCUCUGCUCCCCCAACCCAUCCUCCGUUCUCUCUUCUCAGAUUUGUGGGUUCGUGUCAUGAUUUCACCGCCCCCGGUGAUGCAAUCCUCCGCGGCGAGGCCCGCGCUGGCCGGGUUCCGCCAGGCCGCCGCCUGCUCCAGCUCCCGCCGGUCGGUCCGGUGCGCGGUGGCCGUCGCGUCGGCGGCGCCGGCCGGGAGGUGCACGCUGUACGAGGUGCUCGGGCUGCGGGCCGGCGCCACGGGCGGCGAGAUCAAGGCCGCGUACCGGCGACUGGCUCGGGAGCGGCACCCGGACGUGGCCGGCGCGGCCGGCGACGACUUCAUCCGCCUGCACGACGCCUACGCCACGCUCUCCGACCCGGACGCCCGCGCGCGCUACGACCGCGACGUCGUCGUGCAGGCCUACGCGCAGCCGCCCGCUUCCAGGCCGAACGGCGUCUGGGGCCGGCCUCGCCGCACGUGGGAGACAGACCAGUGCUGGUAGGUCCGACCUCCAUCGAUCCAGAGCUUCGGCCUUGUGAAUAGCCACCACUAUAGCAGCGCUCUUCCCCACGCGCGGCCAUGGCCGCUCACCAUAGAUUUUUUGUUACGGUGACCCAACCAUGCGUCUGUACAUCAGCAUCAAUCUGAUACUGUACAUUUCGGGUCGACAUUGUUUUCCGGCGACCGAAGCCGUCUCUGUUUCUUGGCUGGCAAACCAGGAUUGACGACGACGUGCUACCGUCGGGUUGUUUAUUCGAUGCCAGCCAACGAUUGCCAAUUGGGUGGGUGGCCUCAAAUUUCCCUCCCCUGUCAAGGUCAAACGUGAUCAUCGACAACCGACGCCUCUGUCGGUCCACCUCUUCAAUAUACCACUAGCAAUUGGUCCACCUCUUCAAUAUACCACUAGCAAUUUGGAUAAGGAUUUUACUGAUGCGUUGGCCUCUGUUAAGAUCAAAAUAUGUGUCUAGGGCAUAUCUAGAUGUGCUCUAGUUAUUGCACAUCUAAAUGAGUGAAUCAAGCAGAAGGCUGCCUGUAAUGGAAGUAUCAUAGGUAGUAUCAUGCAUGCCAACUAAGCAAGUUUGAUAAGGUGGCACAGAAUUAAAUGAAGAAAGAGAGGC
rnacentral:rRNA from 1 species